GAGUGCUGGGCUGCUGCCCUCACAAGCAUUGUGACGGCAGCGAUUCAAGCCCCCACAAAAGCAUUUGUGGGGGCUAACGUGCUUAUUUGUUUAAUAUUUCAAAAAUUUUCUCUCCCUCGUGCAAUACGAGUGGAAUAUGGACAUCCCUCUUCUGUAAGGGAUUAUUUGUCUGGGCAUGUACUUCACAGAAUUCAAUGUAAUAAUAUAAGUCCCAAUCAUGUAUUUCUGAUUGUAAAUAU
rnacentral:lncRNA from 1 species